rnacentral:rRNA from 1 species
CCUACGGGGGGCUGCAGUGGGGAAUAUUGGACAAUGGGGGCAACCCUGAUCCAGCCAUGCCGCGUGUGUGAAGAAGGCCCUCGGGUUGUAAAGCACUUUCAGUGAGGAAGAACGCCUGGUGGUUAAUACCCAUCAGGAAAGACAUCACUCACAGAAGAAGCACCGGCUAACUCCGUGCCAGCAGCCGCGGUAAUACGGAGGGUGCGAGCGUUAAUCGGAAUUACUGGGCGUAAAGCGCGCGUAGGUGGCUUGAUAAGCCGGUUGUGAAAGCCCCGGGCUCAACCUGGGAACGGCAUCCGGAACUGUCGAGCUAGAGUGCAGGAGAGGAAGGUAGAAUUCCCGGUGUAGCGGUGAAAUGCGUAGAGAUCGGGAGGAAUACCAGUGGCGAAGGCGGCCUUCUGGACUGACACUGACACUGAGGUGCGAAAGCGUGGGUAGCAAACAGGAUUAGAUACCCUAGUAGUC